UGGGGGAUAUUGCACAAUGGGGGAAACCCUGAUGCAGCGACCCCCCGUGGAGGAAGAAGGUUUUCGGAUUGUAAACUCCUGUCGUUAGGGACGAUAAUGACGGUACCUAACAAGAAAGCACCGGCUAACUACGUGCCAGCAGCCGCGGUAAAACGUAGGGUGCAAGCGUUGUCCGGAAUUACUGGGUGUAAAGGGAGCGCAGGCGGACCGGCAAGUUGGAAGUGAAAACUAUGGGCUCAACCCAUAAAUUGCUUUCAAAACUGCUGGCCUUGAGUAGUGCAGAGGUAGGUGGAAUUCCCGGUGUAGCGGUGGAAUGCGUAGAUAUCGGGAGGAACACCAGUGGCGAAGGCGACCUACUGGGCACCAACUGACGCUGAGGCUCGAAAGCAUGGGUAGCAAACAGGAUUAGAUACCCUGGUAGUCCAUGCCGUAAACGAUGAUUACUAGGUGUUGGAGGAUUGACCCCUUCAGUGCCGCAGUUAACACAAUAAGUAAUCCACCUGGGGAGUACGACCGCAAGGUUGAAACUCAAAGGAAUUGACGGGGGCCCGCACAAGCAGUGGAGUAUGUGGUUUAAUUCGAAGCAACGCGAAGAACCUUACCAGGUCUUGACAUCCGAUGCAUAGCUUAGAGAUAAGUGAAGUCCUUCGGGACAUCGAGACAGGUGGUGCAUGGUUGUCGUCAGCUCGUGUCGUGAGAUGUUGGGUUAAGUCCCGCAACGAGCGCAACCCUUAUUGCCAGUUACUACGCAAGAGGACUCUGGCGAGACUGCCGUUGACAAAACGGAGGAAGGUGGGGAUGACGUCAAAUCAUCAUGCCCUUUAUGACCUGGGCUACACACGUACUACAAUGGCGUUUAACAAAGAGAAGCAAGACCGCGAGGUGGAGCAAAACUCAAAAACAACGUCUCAGUUCAGAUUGCAGGCUGCAACUCGCCUGCAUGAAGUCGGAAUUGCUAGUAAUCGCGGAUCAGCAUGCCGCGGUGAAUACGUUCCC
rnacentral:rRNA from 1 species